UUGAAACAAAAUGUAAUCAUAAACAAUCAAUAUAGUUAGAUACAUAAACCAUCAACCUAACUAGAUACAAAACUCUAGUCUGUACAACUCAAAAGCUAUAUAAAUACAUAAAUGAAAGUCAAAAUAUAAACAUAAACUAACUACAACCCAAGAUCAGGAAUGUCAGUAUCAUCAUCGCCACCAUCUAUCGUACGACCGCCGGUCCCACCUACGGUCCCAUUGCCAGUCCCACCUUUGGUCAGACUGUCGAUCCCAUCCUCCAUAGUCUCAUCAGCAUUAGCCCGUCGGUCAUCACCAUCUCCUCCACGGGCAUCGCCUUUGCCACAGCCUCCACCCGCACGAGUCUCAUCAACAAGACCCUACAAAAUUAAAAUAUUAAUAACAAAGUCUAAAAUAGAGCAUAUUUAAAUUAUUUUAGUUUAUGUUCUUCAAGUUUUGACAAGUUAGGCAAACGGGCUGAUAACUUGGCCUCCGUAUAUCGGAAUCAAGUCCUGUAAGUUGUAACGCGUGUUUAAUACCUAUACGGUGCUAUGUAUGUGUUUGCGUGUCGUUUCGACGACCGAUGCGGAUUUUGGUCUCUUUUUAGACUCUUUUCCUACGUUUUGGUAAGUUAGGCAAAUGGGCUCGGCCUUUGUAUAUCGGAAUCGAGUCCCAUAAGUUGUAACACGUGCCUAAUACCUAUGCGGUACUAUGUAUGUAUUUGCGUGCCAUUUCAACAAUCGAGGAGGGUUUUGGUAUCUUUUUUGACUCUUUUCCUAUGUUUUGGCAAGUUAGGCAAACGAGCUGAUAACUCGGCCUCCGUAUAUUGGAAUCGAGUCCAGUAAGUUGUAACACAUGCCUAAUACAUAUGCGGUGCUAUGCAUGUAAUUGCAUAUUUUUUUGACGACCGAGGUGGGUUUUGGUGUCUUUUUCGACUUUUUCCUAUGUUUUGGCAAGUUAGGCAAACGGGCUGAUAACUCAGCCUCUGUAAAUCGGAAUCAAGUCCUGUAAGUUGUAACGCGUGCCUAAUACCUAUACGGUGCUAUGUAUGUGUUUGCGUGUUGUUUCGACGAUCGAGGCGGGUUUUGGUAUCUUUUUUGACUCUUUUCCUACGUUUUGGCAAGUUAGGCAAACAAGCUGAUAACUCAGCCUCCGUAUAUUGAAAUUGAGUGCCAUAAGUUUUAAUGCAUGCCUAAUACCUAUGUGGUACUAUAUAUGUGUUUGCGUGUCAUUUCGACAGUCGAGACGGGUUUUGGUCUCUUUUUUGACUCUUUUCCUAAGUUUUGGCAAGUUAAGCAAAUAGACUGAUAACUCAGCCUCCGUAUAUCGGAAUCAAGUCCCAUAAGUUGUAACGCGUGCCUAAAACCUUUGCGGUUCUAUGUAUGUGUUUGCAUGUUUUUUUGACGAUCGAGACAGGUUUUGGUCUCUUUUUUGACUCUUUUCCUACGUUUUGGCAAGUUAGGGAAAAGGGCUGAUAACUCGGCCUCCGUAUAUUGGAAUUGAGUCUCGUAAGUUGUAACGCGUUCGUAAUACUUUUGCUGUGAUAUGUAUGUGGUUGCGUGUUGUUUCGACGACCGAGAUGAGUUUUGGUCUCUUUUUCAACUCUUUUCUUACAAUUUGGCAAGUUAAGCAAACGGGCUGAUAACUCAGCCUCCGUAUAUCGGAAUCGAGUCCCGUAAGUUGUAACGCGUGCCUAAUACCUAUGCAAUUUUAUGUAUGUGUUUGCGUCUCAUUUUGACGACCGAGGCAGGUUCCAUCCAACUUUGAUCAACAGACAUCUUGGGCAACUGUCUGCUAUAUAUAUAGAAAAUUAGACAAACACAAUCAAGUCUCCAAGUUAAUGUAUAUGUAAGCUUAUGAGUUUCUUAACUUCAUCUCUCACUCUAACAGGUUAGGCUUUUAUCCUAUUCCCGGAUGUGUCUCCUCACUGAUGCCAACAACUUGAACACAUCUUUAAAUUUUUCAAAAAUUUUGGCAUCAUCUCUCGAUGGUCUUCAAGUAUACGAAAUAAACUUACACAUCGUAGUCUAAAUAUGCACCCGAAGAACAUCAAGAGAUAUAUACUGACCAAAAAUUCAAAAAAUAUAAAGACGUGUUCAAGUCGUUAACAUCGACCUAACUGAGAUCGAAACAUACAAGAACAAUCCCAAAACGGAGACUAUUUGAGAUUCACUCAUACUAAGUGAAUCUUAAACGGGUUUCUAAGCUUCCUAAACUAUAUGAAAAUAUGCACAUAUAAAAGUAAGGAUUAUGCUAUAUAACUACACAUGCAACUUUCAAACCAUUAAUGCCAAUAAUGUGAAGUAAAAUAAAUUUGACAAACAAGAAACUUCGUCUUUCUUUCUAUUUUAUUAAUAAUUUUAAAG
rnacentral:lncRNA from 1 species